rnacentral:pre_miRNA from 1 species
AAAAAGGCAAACCCUGGGUUUCCGUGUCCAACUUUGACUGUCCGUCUUAUAUGAAAUUUUUUUAUAAUUCGUAUUUUCAUUGUUGUUAGAUAAUAAACAUGAUUAAUAUUUUAUACGUGACUUGUCUUUUUAUUUUUUUUAUAUUUUUUUUAAAUAAGACGGACGGUCAAACGUUAGGCACGGAAAUCAGGGUUUGUCUUUUU